rnacentral:miRNA from 1 species
UGCCGGAGGGAUCGAUUGCUU